GCUUGUAAAACAUGUGAUUAAUAUGAAUUAAUGCUAACACAGCAGUUGCCUUUUCGCGUUCAAACCACGUCGCAUGCAUCGGCUUAGCGCAGGUGUUCUGCUGAGGUGCUCAGUGUUUUAGAUUCACACGAGAAAGCCGUCCUUUCUGGGGCUUGGUGGUGAUCCAUCUUCCCUAUACUGCUCUGGGUGAGUCUUUCUCCAGUUUAUCUAACCCAAGUGGCGCUUCCCUCCUCCCUUCCCGCUCCCCGCCCGACUUGAAGCGGACAACGCACGGGCAGGAACUGGAAUUCUGCAGCUUAUCUGAAACUAAUUGCUACCAUUAAGCUUAGAGCUUCGGACAUUUCCCUACCUCUGCGUCGCCGCGUUCGCUCUUUGGCUCUUUUCCCGCCCACUCCCGCCCUUGCAUUUGGUGUUCAGAGUGGUUGGCCGACAAUGGCAAGAUCUUUUUUCCUUCUACAAAACCGACCCUUGGACGAGGUGCGGAAGAAACGCGAAGCGUGCCCAUCGCGCCUGAAGGUUGCCAGGCGACAGGCUGCUCUCUCUCUCUCUCUCAAUCUUUGCUUCUCCUGGUGCAUAGGGUGGUUUGCUUUACACCGCAAGAAAGGCAGUAUCCGAUUCAGCUGAAAUUCUUUAAGAUAAGCGCGCACGGAGAGGCCCAAAAUACCUUUUUAAGGGCUGGAAAGGCGGGGGCAGAUUCAGCUCCUCAAACCUCCUACUCGCCUCGUUCUAGAAAUCAACGCAGUAUGAUAAUGCGAAUGAUUAUAUGAAUUGCAGUGGAUUUAAUGGAGUUCACUUUGUUUUGUUUUGCAUUUGGUAAAAACGUGAAUGCGCCGAGCUGAGAAGAGGAAGCGGCAAGCCAGACUGAUAAACUUUCUACUGUCACGUUACGGGGUGCAUUUGUAUAUCCGUGAAGGAUUCUACCCAAAUGUUGCAGCAUUGAUUCUAAGACAGACCUCUGAAUGGAAUUACCCUUCUCUGCGUUAACGUGCCUAGAUGCAAAAUACAGGUGGCUGCCAUCAGGUCUGGAUCAAGAUGCUGAUGAUACCUGGUAAUACACCUUGGAACCUUGUCCCAAGACAGAAUAUCUCAGGAAAGAAAUUGAACCUCCCCCCGCCCCCCCCAAUCCCAGNUCAGUGCCACUGUGUGGAGAAGGAUGGCAACAAAUGCAGAAGCCAGGAUGGCUUUGUCACUGGUGGAAGACCAGGUGGACUGAAGACAUGCAGAACACUUGUGGGGCGUGUAGAACACACUGAGACAAAUCACAAUAGCAGUCUGAGAGGAGCUGCCAAAGCCAUCUUGCCUUGUCUCAGACAUCAUGAGUGAAGUUUGCUGUUGAAGAUGCAGAUGAGAGACCUUCUCCUUUUAUUUCUCAAUAAACCUUCUCUAUUUUUUCCCUUGUGGACA
rnacentral:lncRNA from 1 species